ensembl:lncRNA
AAAAUGCUAACGAAUUCUUAAGUGUAAACAGAAAUAUGUGAACAAGAUUCCAUUACUGGAAGGCAGACAAAAAUUGUUGGAGAUUACAUUUGAAUAAGGAUGAAAAUUUGUCCCUUGGAAUAGCAUGUAUUGCUCUGCAUUCCAUAACACUUUCUGUGUUUGAAUCAAGAAUUUAAAGGACAAUACUGUUUAAUCUACCUAUUCAGCUGAAAGCAGAAGUCAAUAUAGUCCACUGUAUUUAUUUACAGAUAGAUGGAAUCAUGGUCUUUCAUAUCAGAAAGCUCUAAACAUCUACUUCUAAGCACACAUAGGUAGUUGCGAUGUUUAAAAUAAUAGUAAAAUAGAAAAUGGAAUGGAAAAUAGAAUCUCAAUGUGCUUUUCUGUCCAGCUUUUUUUAAUGGGACAUUUAUCCUAUUAAGGUAAUUUUUUAUCCUUCAACUUUUCAUUGGAGUGGGUUGUGGUAUUUUUAAAACUUUAUCUCUCUCCCUCUCCAUCUUUCUCUUUUUUUUCUUUAAAACAACAAAAAAUGAUUAACUACUUAUUUGUGCUUAGCAUUCUCAGCAGAAAAAUGUUCUGUUAGCAUUUUGCAGAAUGAUUGCAACAAAUGUGUUCAAGGGAAUAUGAGUAAAUGAUGAUAGUCCACAGGCACAAGUGAUGCUGUAUUUAAGCUUCAAACACUGGAGUGCAUCACUGAUAACUGAGAUGUAUAGCUAUAUUGACAUAUACACAGAGAUUUACUGUGAUGCUCUUGCAGAUUGUUUUCAAAUGCAUCUCAGCUUCUUCAGGAAAUCAAAUGUAGUUGCUGCUCAAAAGAAGAGUAAAAAGUCUCCAUACCAUUUGUAUUGCAUAUGAAGCAAAGCCAUUAUGAAAACUUCAUUAAUAUGUAAAUUGCAACAUUUUGAUUAGCACUUGCAGACCUCUUUUGUUAAGAAAAGAGACGGAAAGAUUUAACCAGAUUGCAAUAAUUUACAUAAUAACUCAGUGGUGGCAAUGCCACCGAAAGCGAACCUAAGGAAGGCUAUAUCUUUUUUAAUAGCUUAAUGCUUUAUUAAAACACAUAGUACAAAAGAAAGGAAAAUAUUUUUCUUGAAACUGACAAAUUCUUAUUUGGCUGGUAGUAGGAUAAAUUAAUGAUGUGCUGGUGCUUAUUUUAAAAUAAUCAAACAUAUAUUUACUUGGCAAAGGAAUAAAAACUAUUUGGGGUCAUUGUACAGUGGACUGAAAUUAUGUGAAGAGUAGCUUUUGUAAUUUAUUUCUAUUCAUUUUUCCCUACAGUGAUUUUGAAAUGUGCCAGAUCCUAUUAUUCUGGAAAGCAAUGGAGGUUUGUCCACUUAUUUCAAGGAACUCGAGUCUUAUGUCUGUAGUUUUGAUUUUCAAACCGAUUGAUUUUUAAUUUUUCUCAAACUGCAUUGGAACAUGCAUUUCUCUCACUCAAAGAAAGGAUCAGAUCACAGCAUCAUUACUGUACAAGAUGACAUCUGGAUUUGUAAGUUCUGAUAUGUGCAUCGCAUAGAAUCAGAGAAUCACAGAAUUGUAGUAUCACAUACCAGAUGGUGAGAUCUAUCCAUAGGAUUUAUAAGUAUACUAGAUUUGGAGUUGCUUGAGCAAUAUCACAAACGUAGGUUGUUAUGGUUUUCCUUAUUGUUAAUACUAAAGUAUUCAGAACAAUAAGAUAAUGAAGUCUAUCUAAGUAUCAGCAUUUUGCUUCUGCUACUGGUCAUUUGAAAUAUAUUUCUGUAUUUGGUUACCAUAAAGGGAGCCCAUUACCAGUCAGGUUUUCCCAGCAUUUUCAGCCACUAUCAAGAGACAAUGGAGUAUCUACAGCUGACUUACUUAGUGGCAACAUAGAAGAUAGUAGUAGCAGGAAAAAAAAAAGAAAGAAAAUAAUACAUUUUUAUAUAUUCACCAAAAUUCUGAGACCUCAACGCAAUACAGGAAAAAGAAGAGAAAAAAAAAGGUAUUUGAAAUGCAAAUUUCAACAGCUCUGCUCGGUGCUACUUGAAAAUAUAUUACAAGCAUCAUACUAGAUUUAUCCGAAGAAGUAACUGUGAUCUUUUAAAAUUAGUGUUCUUCGUGACAUAUUCUGCUUGUUACACUUCCAUAGGUGGUUGGUUUUUUUUUAUUUGUUUUUUUUUCUUUUUUUCCAGCUGGUUUCUAUAGAAAAGGCUUCAUUAUGAUGUAACUAAAACCAAUAUUGAUCUAUGAGUUAAUAAUAACAAUAUAGAUUUUUGCCAUUAAAAGGAUAUUUUAUCACAUUGGGAAAAGAGUUUAUAUGAAGUUAUGUGCCCACAAGGAACUUCAGAAUAGCAAUGAAUGAAUCUGUAGAGAUUUUUUUUUUUUACAUGACUUUGUUAAGCCCUUAAAACAUUUAUAGAGAUUUUAAUGUUUUUGAGCUCAUUGUAAAAACACAAAACUUUGGCAAACUUUUUUCAAAAGUAUUGAGGAUACAGUAAAAAAUAUCCCAAAUAAGUGGACAUUCUUAUAAGAAUGACUGGGCUUUCAGCUGGUGACUAUCAGCCUUACUCCCCUGAAUUUGAUAAGCAUAUGCCGCCUGUCUGGUGUUGCAGGCCUUUACAGUGUGGAGUCUUCCACAAAAGCAUAAGCCUAGCUCUAAAUUAUGAACCAUUUUUUGAGUUGAUGAGAUAACGCUAAUAAGCAAUAGGUAAAGAUCUGGCAGACAAGAUGCAUGUGAGUCAUGAAUGUGAAAAAAAACCUAAACAAUAGAACUACUAGGUAUUAUCUGUCAUUUAAGACCAGUAUGUACUGACUAGCCCAUGGGUGUCCAAUGUUUUGGCUUGCCUGGGUUGCAUUAAGUGAAGAGGAAUAAUCUUGGUCAAUAUAUAUAAUAUAAAAUAUAGUUAAUUUAUAUAAGUAACAAAACUUAUUAUUUUAAUAUUUUAUUUUGUUAAAGCAUAACCAAAAGAGCAAUGGAAACAUAAGAGUAGUGAGAUAUUUGACCUUGUUUUUGUGAAACUGUGCAUCAGUCUGUUUUGAUGGAAGGGGUUGAAAAUCUUAGUGAGUUAUCAAGGUAUUUGCCAGAGAUUUUUUGAUUAAAUUUACCAAUACUUUAUCCAUAAAUAUAUGUGAACACAUAUGUACAUACUGCUGUCGUGUUUUUAUAAUUUUUUGUUAUUGGUAUUCCACAUCAUAACAUCAUGUAGUGUACUGGGAGUUAAAGAGUUAAUGCUCCAGUUCUGGGCACCUGUCCAGAAGAGAAGAACUACAUUCCCCAGAACACUUUGCAUUCAGAGAGGAGAUAUAACCCCUGCCAUAGUCACAACACCUUCCCUUUUUUGGCUCUCCUCCCUGCUGCUUGUCCUGACCGCGCACAUUGCCACAGCACUAGUGCAAGGCCUACAGCUUUUGGACACUCUUUCUCUCAUUAUAUUUGAUUUAUAUGCUUAAAUUCUAAUUAUAUUGUUUUAUAGUGUGUUAUCUUGCAUUCCGAUACCAUAUUUAGUAAAUUAGUUUGUUUCUCCUCAGAUCAUUUCCACUGUUAUUAAUUAUUCGGGGUCCCCUGUUUCCCCAUUCCAGAGGUGCAGAUCUGCGGAUCCCUCUGCAAUGAAAAGUGAAAAAACAGUGAGAAAAAGGGCUAAAAUGACCAUUUUGGGCUCUUGGUGGUUUAGGGGUGUUUUUAGGGUUUUUUUGUGCUCUUUUUGCUGUUUUUUUUUGCCCCAGAUGAUCCCUCCUAACUGUGCUUAGGGUCACCUGGGUGCUUUAGUGAUCACUAGUCAAGAGACAGGGCCAAACCAUCCCAUAAAACAUUGACAGCUGCCAAGAAGCAAUGGUAUGAAUAAGAAGUGAUUGUGAAGUGAAAAAUAUUUUUAUCUGAUAAGGUAGGUUUGAUAAAGUGUAAUGAAGAGACAUAUUCUUUGAAUUGAAUAUCUGACUGCAGCUCUACACAUUCCCUUUGAAAAUCUACAGGUAAUUCAUUUAUAUCAACUGAAAAUGGAGUUGCAAAUUUACCAUGCAGCCCACGGGUUGGACACGACUGGACUAGCCUGUAUAUCAUUAUUGUUUGUGUGAUUAUCUCCUAACAAGAUUAGUGGAUACUCUUUACUGGAUAUUUCAAUCACUUUUUUGUUUUUAAGAAUGUUAACUAGUAUAUAGGAUUCCUAGCUACCGUAAAAGUCAUGAGUUGUUACAUGAUAAGCAAUUCUUGAUAACUGGCAUUUGAUUAAUGUGUUUGCAGAAAAAUCAGCGCCAAGUCCCCACUGUAGCUCCCUGAAGAAUGCUUACUGAAAGGUGAAUGGCUGAGACUGAGCAGUAGUUUGUGACACACAGUACCCAGUAUGAUUCUUUCUGAGGUGGGAGUUGAACAGCCCUUUUAGCUUUCCAGACCAGAGUCUCCAGUUUGCCUGAACUGUGCUUUGUUUUUGAGCUCAUUGUAAAGACUCAGAAGGGAAAACACGACAUUUCAGUUAUCCUUUUGCUCCUUCUUUCAGGACCUGCCAGGUGCCUGUUAAGUCUUUGCCAUGAAUCAUUUAUCCUUGAGCUUGUCUGUUUUAUGAGGCCAGCCCAUAGUUGCUGGGGCCACUGUAGUAUCAGGAGACUGGGAACUCCAAAGUGCAGCAGAGCUAAUGAUAUCUUCUUUUCAGCCACAUUCGUACUGGCAAAAUGGAUAUUUUAGAAGCUAUUGUGCUACUGUAAAAGCAAAGGGAUAUGGCUUUAAUGAGGGACUGGAAUGAAUCAGACUUGCUAAUCAGGUAUGCUGUCCAUGUUGCCAGUGCUGCUGCUUUAUGAUAGCAUAAACAGUGCUGAUAGCCAUUAUGUGUAUUUAACAGAGGUGUCUGGUUCUGUGCUACCAUUUUCUUUGCAGCAGAGCUAGAACUGUUUUCCAAUGAAUUGUAGAUCAUCUUCCCUUCCAAGGAGUCAGAACAGUUCAGAGAGUCAGUCGGGUGUGUGCAAACUUGACUUCAUUCACGGGAAACUAAACUGUAGGUUCUCUUCCCAAUAAGCACCAAAUGUUUUCCAGAAGUCACUGAAGACGCAGGAAUGCAACACAAUGACUUGUUCGCUACAGCACAAGGCCUCCUGCGCAUGCCAAGUGUCUUAGUUUCAGUUUUGAUGGAAUUGUUUUCUUCAGAGUGUCUGGUGUGCUGCUGCGUUUUUGGUUCUAGGAGAAAAACAGUGCUGAUAACUCACCGAUGUUUAUAGUUGCUGCUAAGCAAUGUUGUACAGAACCAAGUACAUUCACUGCAAGAAGCCCAAGGAGCUGGGAGGGACAUAAUUAGGACAGCUGACUUAAAUUGGCCAUAGGGAUAUUCCAUACCAUAUGACAUCAUGUGGAAGGUGUUUUGAAAGAAUGGGAGUUCAUCUCACUCUCUUCCACUGCUCAAGGGGCUAGCUAAACAUCAGUCGGCAGAUGGUGAGAAAUUGCUUGUGCAUCGUGUGUUACAUAUAUUCAUAUAUAUAUAUAUAUGUAUAUACCAUUUUCCUUUUCUCUAUCUUAUUAAAUAGUUUUAACUCACAAGUUCUACUUUGUUUUUUCCAAUUCUCUUCCCCACCCCACUUGGAGGGUGGGAGUGAGUGAACAACUGUCUGGUGCUCAGCCACCUUCCAGGUUAAACCACAACACCAAGCAUGCCUGUGCCAUUUGAAUAUUUAGAAACCAACAGGAGGUCAUGAAAUGUUCAGAAGAGCUCUUUUAUUGUAUGACAAUCCAUUAGAUUUGUAUGCCUUUAUAUUUACCGUUGAUUAUACAGCCAUCUCUUCAUUCAAGAUCCUUUCUCUUCUUUAACUGCUUUAUCUUUGGUUGUUUUCUACCCUUUCUGUUUUUGUAUUCUAUGACUCUUGAAGAAUUAUACCUCUUUUCUUCCUGUAGAAAUGGCAAUAUACCACCCUUUAUUCUCACAGAAGUUCCAGAAAGGUGCAUCAGACAUCAAUCUGUGCCCCCAAAGGCCAGAACUUUCACUGAAGUCAGGAUAGAACUUCAUUAUCAGCAACUGAAGAAAUCCACUAACCUCAUGACUGCAAUCACAUACACAAUGACCAUAUUAAAAUCAAGAAGAUUAAGUCCCUUUUAUUGAAGACACAGGACAAUAAGUUUCAUUUGGAGGUGUGCCCCUACUACAGAGUCUUCAUAAAUAUGGUCUGGUGAGAACACCGGACUGAGCCAGUCGCUAUUUUGGAGGCUACACCAUGUGUCUUGUAUUCAUUAUAAGCGACACCCUGAUAGGCAACACUUCCCUUGGAGCUAAUUCAGGUCCUAACUCAUGAGCACCACAGAAGACAUCUGCAAAGGACUAUCUGAGGACUCUAUCAUGGUCUGCAUCAGGAACACCCUCUGCUUCAGAUACCAACCAGGGAGGAGCCCUGUCUGCUCACUCGCAGUAUUGUCCCAGAGUCGGAGAAGCAAGAUGUCAUCUACCCCUACAAAACCUUUGUUUGGACAAUGAGCAAACUCAGAAUAAGGAAGUGGCUGGGAAGAAGACACCAGAAAUUAUCCAGCUUUCUCAUUUCAGCAAAGAUUGUUUCUGUGUGUGAUCAUACACACAAUCAUAGGUGCAGCAGCGACAUGUUUCAGUAUUCUGCACGAGACAGACAGAAAGACUGUAGAGGACUUCUUUGACUUGCCUAUAUGAGGUUCUGCAUCAAGAAAGCCAAGAUUUUAGAAUUGCUUUGCUGUAAGCAUCAUGGAUACAUGGAUGUUCAGCCAAAUAGAACAGGCUAUAUCUGGUCUGAUGCACACUCCAAGAUACGCAUGCUUCAAUUGUAAGGGUGUCGUCACUUGCUCAUCUGUUAGUCUGCUCCUAUUGCACCAACCUUCUUAUACUGACAUCAGGUUUGUGCCUGCAGCUGAGCACGCUAUGAAGAUGCGCAAGGAUGCAAGACCUGCUAGCGUCAAAAGACAGGACUCAACAGCAGGAGAAAAACCUGGUCCAGACCCAUCUAUAUUGCCCAUCUGAGCACUGCCAGAGCAGAACUAUGGAGCCAGGCCUGGAUUUUAGCUGAGCUUUGCAGGUGUGUCCAGCACUCAGAGAGCUUCCCUGAAGACAGCAGAGGAGCAAAGUGGUGUGUGGUUCUGCACUGAGAGAAGCUGAAAACAAUAAAAUUAUCUAAUUUGUUCAUUCAAAAAACCACAGUGAACAAAACCAAUCCUUCAGUCAUAAAGGCCUUGGCUGUUGCCUGUAGUGCUCCUAAAUAAGAGGGAGUGUGGAUGCUUAACCCCUGGACAGAAGAAAGAAUGAUCUGUGUCUGUGAUUUCAAUGUUCUCUUAACCUCCCCCACUCUAGGGUGGUGAUUAGGUACUUUAGUAUAUUUGGUAAACACUGUUUUCAGCCGUUCUACCUAAUGAAUAGAGAGAGACAUUGCCAGCCCUUUCCCCUAAUCAUAUGUGGAAGAGUGAAUAGAAGGCAGACAACACCGUGGAGAGGCUGAACGCUGAUACUGAAUGUGAGGAAAACAACACACUUCUCAAAACAGCUGUUUUCUAGACUUAAAAAGCUAUGUAACCAGUACACUCUUCUCUCCUUACUGAAUCUUAAUAAGCAAUAAAAAUCUGUUCUGAAAUCUUUUAAAAUUAGCAAGGUCUUUACAUUUAUUUAAAUGGACUGUGGGACAGGCCCUAAAAAACCCCAACUGCUGCAGAUGCUUAUCUUACUGACCAUUUGAAGACUAUUUUAGCAAUACAGCUACUACAAGCAAAUAAAGCAAAUAUUCAAGAUGCACAAAGUAUUCUAAUGCUGCUGUAUCCAUGUUGUAAGUAUUGUACACACCUUUCUGAGUUUCCCAGUUGUUACCUAGUAUUACCAACGGGUGGGCCAGUCACUAAGGAUCUGUGGUCUAACUCCUACAGUAAAGUUGUGCAGCCCAGAGGCUCUACCUCAGGAAGAGGGCGUACACAGGCUGGAUCUGGUUUAGUGACACAAGGGACUUGACAAGGGAGCAGUGUUCAGAGCCUAUAAGACAUGAAAUCAUUUACUCUCAAAAGAAAAUUUCACAAGUGAUAAAUUUGCUUGUUCUCACACAGAUGUUAUAUGGCAGAAGUCUUCACCAUCCCAGCCACAGAUACAUACCUAAAUGUAGUCCAUUGAAAAUCCAAAAGAUUUUCUUCCGAAUAUAAUCACAGA